GGAUGCGUAGCGCAAUGGUAGCGCAACGGUCUUCGGAACCGUUGGUUGCGGGUUCGAGUCCCGUCGCAUUCG
rfam:Vittaforma corneae ATCC 50505 unplaced genomic scaffold supercont1.26, whole genome shotgun sequence.